AACGAACGCUGGCGGCAUGCCUAACACAUGCAAGUCGAACGAGACCUUCGGGUCUAGUGGCGCACGGGUGCGUAACGCGUGGGAACCUGCCCUUAGGUUCGGAAUAACUCCCCGAAAGGGGUGCUAAUACCGGAUAAUGUCUUCGGACCAAAGAGUUAUCGCCUGUGGAUGGGCCCGCGUUGGGUUAGCUAGUUGGUAGGGUACAAGCCUACCAAGGCGACGAUCCAUAGCUGGUCUGUGAGGAGGAUCAGCCACACUGGGACUGAGACACGGCCCAGACUCGUGCGGGAGGUGGGGGAGGGGAAUAUUGGAGAAUGAGCGAAAUGCUGAUCCAGCAAGGCCGGGAGGGUGAUGAAGGCGUUGGGGUUGUCAAGCUCUUUUGACCGGGAUGAUAAUGACAGUACCGGGAGAAUAAGCACCGGCUAACUACGUG
rnacentral:rRNA from 1 species